rnacentral:rRNA from 1 species
CCUACGGGAGGCAGCAGUGGGGGAUAUUGCACAAUGGAGGAAACUCUGAUGCAGCGACGCCGCGUGAGGGAAGACGGUCUUCGGAUUGUAAACCUCUGUCUUUGGGGAAGAAAAUGACGGUACCCAAAGAGGAAGCUCCGGCUAACUACGUGCCAGCAGCCGCGGUAAUACGUAGGGAGCGAGCGUUGUCCGGAAUUACUGGGUGUAAAGGGAGCGCAGGCGGAGGCACAAGUCAGCGGUAAAAUCGCGGGGCUCAACCCCGCUCCGCCGUUGAAACUGUGUCCCUUGAGUGCGCGAAGGGUAGGCGGAAUGCGUGGUGUAGCGGUGAAAUGCAUAGAUAUCACGCAGAACUCCGAUCGCGAAGGCAGCCUACCGGCGCGCAACUGACGCUCAUGCACGAAAGCGUGGGUAUCGAACAGGAUUAGAUACCCCAGUAGUC